rnacentral:rRNA from 1 species
GACGUAGGGCGCGAGCGUUGUCCGGAUUUAUUGGGCGUAAAGAGCGUGUAGGCGGCCAGGUAGGUCAGCUGUGAAAGUCCAGGGCUCAACCCUGGAAUGCCAGUGGAAACUGUCGAGCUAGAGUCCGGAAGAGGCGAGUGGAAUUCCUGGUGUAGCGGUGAAAUGCGCAGAUAUCAGGAGGAACACCAAUGGCGAAGGCAGCUCGCUGGGACGGUACUGACGCUGAGACGCGAAAGCGUGGGGAGCAAACAGG